rnacentral:rRNA from 1 species
UACGUAGGGUGCGAGCGUUAAUCGGAAUUACUGGGCGUAAGGCGUGCGCAGGCGGUUAUUUAAGUCAGGUGUGAAAGCCCUGGGCUUAACCUAGGAAUUGCGCUUGAGACUGGAUAGCUUGGAGUGCGGCAGAGGGAGGUGGAAUUCCACGUGUAGCAGUGAAAUGCGUAGAGAUGUGGAGGAACACCGAUGGCGAAGGCAGCCUCCUGGGCCAGCACUGACGCUCAUGCACGAAAGCGUGGGGAGCAAACAGG